CUCCUCCCCGUACCCGCCCCCCUCCCGAUCCAGUCCUCUCCCACCCACCCCUGACCUCGCCGUCCUCCCUCCCCGCAUCUCCCAGCCACCUCUUCGCCCGAGGAGAUCGAGCGAGCGCCCGAGCGUGCCCGUCCUCGCAGCCUCCUCCCAUGAUUCCCCGCACCCGAGCCCCACGAGAGGAGCUCCUCCUGUGAUUUUGCACGCCGCCGCCGGCGACCACCAGCCACAGCUUGCCGGAGCCAGCAGAUGAGUGCCACCCUUCUUCUCUGUUCUCUUCUUCCCGUGCUCUCUUUCUUCAUCCUUUUUCUCUCUCACACAUCUCGAUUUCUCUCUGUCUCAAACAGUGCACUCCGCCGCCAUGGACCUUGCAUCGCGCCGCCCUAAUGCCAAGUCCCUCCUCGCCGUUCCUGCACCGCCAAGCCGAAGCCUCGCCCAAGUCCAAGCACCGCCGCUGUUUGCCUCCUCGCCAUGGCCUCCCCUGCAUCGUCUGCUUCGUGGACAGAGCUCCGUCUCUGUCAAUGUGUCCUCCCGCCGUCUCUGUUCGCUGUCAGGCUCGAUCGACUCCAGCAGCACCCCCACGGUGACGCUCCGCUUGGCACCCGAGAUGGAGUAGGAGGAUGAGCAGCAGCAACAAAUGAACCUGAUGGUGAAGAAGCACCUGAUGACCAGAACUCGUUCAAGUGCUCUUUAGUCCUUCCAAAGCAAGGAGCUUUGGGCCUAAUUUUUUUGGAGUGUGAAGCCAUGAAGCCAAGUGCGAAUCAGUGAAGCCCUACUUAGCAAAGAGUUUUUUUGGUUCUGUAGUAGACUGUAAAUUGUAAUAUUGUAUCAGAUUGUAAAAGACUAAUGUAGUGUUAUUUGAUGAAUUAUAUUUGUCCCGUCCUAUUUGAAAUAGUGAUUAUGUAUGUUAAAAAGAUGUGAAAUGGAAACAUGACCAGCGGGACCAAUUUAUGCCCCACUUAUGAAUAUAAUUUGAGAUAUUUUGAAUUUUUUGA